AUGUUAUUAUAUAUAUACGAUGAUGUGUAAAGGAAUUUUAGUAACAGAGACACAUUAGUCUAACUGCUAAACUUAAAACUGAGUGUCGGUUUCACAAGAAUAAUGUGAUAUUUGAAAAGAGAUACAAGGAUUUCGUUCUGGAUUCAGUUUUUUUUAUUAAGUUCUGGUUUCGGUUUUAUGCGAGUAGAUCAAUGAAUAAAAACCUAGUUAGAACUA
rnacentral:lncRNA from 1 species